GCUCGCCGAGCAGCGGACGCAGCGGGCCCGGGACGCCCGCGGCCCGAGGACGUCCGACUCCUUCGGCGAGCG
rnacentral:tRNA from 2 species